UUUUUGAGAAGGACCUGUAUAUGUUUAUGAAAAGUGGUGUCCCAAAUGGCCAAUUCACAUUAAACCAUUCAAAGUGUAUCUAUUGCUAUUUUAAGUAUGAAGGUCCUGCUCCAAAGACAGAAUGCUGGAUUAAAUAUUAAGGAAAACAGAACAAUUUUAUAGAGGAAUCAGUAUUGUUAUCAGUGAUACUGGCCUUCACUCAUUAAACAAAUAUUACAAAUAUACUGUCUUUAUGUUGUUUCUGCAUUAAUUUGAAAAUUAAAUAUGAAAUUAUUACAAUAUAAAAGUAUUUAAAAAUGUUAAUGUUAGGUGAAAUUAAUCACAAUUAAUUUCUGAAAAAAAUAGCACCACAUCAUUUUUCUACUUCAAGCACUGAUUGCGUAUCAUAUUCACACCAAAGUCAAUUUCUGAGUAUAAAUCACACACCAAAUAGAAACAUAAAAUCGUGCUAUUGAUAAACAAUUAAAUUUUUUAAGUGGCAAAUUUGUCACAUAUUUUUAAAAGCUCACAAUUAUUUGUUGCACCAUAUUUCUGCCCCUCUCAAAAGUAACAAAAAUGACUUGUGCUUGAUGAUAUUUGUCAUUUACUUUGAUUUAUGGAGUAAAGUGGAUUUCUUAUCCUGAUGAAUUAAAAGUACUUAUGUCAAACUAACACAGAGCAAUAACAUAUUUUACAUCUAUGCUAAUGCAUAUUAUAUCUUUGUAAUAAAAAGACAGUAAUUUAACAAUUUGUUAAGGAGUGGUGACUUUUGUACAGUCUUACAGUUACAAUCGGUCCUUUGAGGGCAGUCAUAAUGUUGAAGUGUCCCUCAGUGAAAAUGAGUUUGACCCCCUGAUAUAGAGUCAGCAGAAAUCUGAUUUCAGUUCAAAGUGAAGUGACUUCAGAAAGUGAAGCAGAGACACGAGGAGCACGUCUGUCUGAUGUCCACACUGAGCUUUCUGAACUGGUUUCUAGUGUUUAGCUCUGAAUGAAUCAUGAGGAUCAAACAGUGAACACAAAACACCAGUUCUGCUUCUUCACUGAGAUCUCAUACAUUAAUGCUGAAUGUGUCACUGUUAGAUGAAAAACACAAGACAGGAUGAACACAUUGCUAUUGAGCACAUACACAGAAACUGUAAAGUAUGGACCCUUUCAUUAAAAAGGAAUGUUUCUGCUAUUGUAGACUCAUUUUGUAUGUAAGCUAUAGUCAAGCGCAAACUGGGUGCUUAAUGCAAAUGUAAUUGUCCACAUUUACAAAAGCAGGUGAUUAUGUUCGCCCAUCUAUAGAUGUAAAUGUGACUGUAUGUAUAGAGACAAAAGAAUGAGGUUAAUCACUGUCUUCACGUCAGUUUGAUUGUGUAUCUUUGCAAAGACACUGAUGAAUGACCAGAAAACAAUCUUGAGCUUUUGGUUUGAUUUCUCAUCAAACACAAAACAGCUUUAAGCAAAUAAUGUGAAAUCAUUAGGAACUCCAAUUGUACUCCAUUUAAUUUUUUUAUUUCAUUUUUUAAUUGCACAUUUCAAGACUCCAAGGAUGCUUUACAAAAUAAUAAAAUGAAUUGGCAAACAAAAUACAGCAGACAAUCAGGCAAACAAGUGUUGACAAAGAACUACAGACAGAAACUGGGAAAUUGAGAAGCAGAAAGGUAAAUGAGUUAUUUAGAGACCACAGUGAAUAGAUGAGUUUUAAGUUGAGACUUAAAGGUCUGGAGAGAGGAGGCAGCAAUUUUUAAGCAGUUUUCUAAUUUUAAUUGGCUCCACUUCUGAAGAUUCACAACUUCAGGGUGACUUUGUUAAACGUGUGCUGUGUAACAGGAAAAAUGCAUUUGUUCCCUGAUUUAUGAAUGUCCUAAAGGCAUGCCGCAUAUUUUUUUUUUUACUUGUUUUAUCAUAAACUUUACAUAAAAUGUUUUCUCGUAAUCUAGACAUAACAAAAUAGCUGGUAACUUCAGAAAGUAGAAAGGAAAUAACACUUGGCUUCUUCUUAGGGAUUUUCUGAUUGGAUAGUUUAAACGUCGGGAAACGCCCUCUUUUUUGUUCUACUUGAGCUCAACGGCUGCAGUCCUGGAUUCAGUGAGAGCUGAGGAACAAAUCACUUUCAGCAGAAACCGUGAACUAAGAGUCAUCAAAGCUUUCGGACGCAGCUGCAGCGAUCUUCUGAGGAGAGUCGUGACUAAGUGUUGAAUCAAGCAAGAAUAUCUGGAGGAGUAUCAUCUGAACUGAGAUCUGCUGCUGUGAAGAUGAUGUUUAUUAAAGAAGAGAGU